rnacentral:rRNA from 1 species
CCUANGGGCGGCUGCAGUCAAGAACCUUUCUCAAUGGGCGAAAGCCUGAAGAAGCGACGCCGCGUGUAUGAAGAAGUCCUUCGGGAUGUAAAAUACUUUUUUGGGGGAACAAUUUUUGAGCGUACCCCAAGAAUAAGGGGCUCCUAAACUCGUGCCAGCAGGAGCGGUAAGACGAGUGCCUCAAGCGUUAUCCGGAAUUACUGGGCGUAAAGGGUCCGUAGGGGGUCUAGUUAGUCUGGCGUUAAAUUUUGGGGCUCAACCCUAAAGCUGCGUUGGAAACGGCUAGACUAGAGAACAUAAGAGGCUGAUGGAACUCACGGUGUAGGGGUGAAAUCCGUUGAUAUCGUGGGGAACACCAAAGGCGAAGGCAUUCAGCUGGUGUGUUUCUGACCCUGAGGGACGAAAGCGUGGGGAUCAAAAAGGAUCAGAUACCCCGNUANUC